rnacentral:rRNA from 1 species
UUGGAGGGCAAGUCUGGUGCCAGCAGCCGCGGUAAUUCCAGCUCCAAUAGCGUAUAUUAAAGUUGUUGCAGUUAAAAAGCUCGUAGUUGAAUUUCAGGCCUGGCUGGACGGUCCGCCCUUCGGGUGAGUACUGUCUGUGGUCGGGUCCUACCUUCUGGCGAAGCGUCAUGGCCUUAACCGGCCGUGGCGGGGAACCAGGACUUUUACUGUGAAAAAAUUAGAGUGUUCAAAGCAGGCAAUCGCUUGGAUACAUUAGCAUGGAAUAAUGGAAUAGGACAAUGGUUCUAUUUGUUGGUUUCUAGGACCGUUGUAAUGAUUAAUAGGGAUAGUUGGGGGCAUUAGUGUUCAAUUGUCAGAGGUGAAAUUCUUGGAUUUAUUGAAGACUAACUACUGCGAAAGCAUUUGCCAAGGAUGUUUUCAUUAAUCAGUGAACGAAAGUUAGGGGAUCGAAGACGAUCAGAUACCGUCGUAGUCUUAACCAUAAACUAUGCCGACUAGGGAUCGGACGGUGUUAGUAUUUUGACCCGUUCGGCACCUUACGGGAAACCAAAG